GCCCAGCACGGUGGCGCGUGCCUGCCAUCCCAGCUACUCGGGAGGCUGAGGUGGGAGGAUCACUUGAGCCCAGGAGUUCUGGGCUGUAGUGUGCUAUGCCAAUCGGGUGUCCACACUUAAGUUCAGCAUCAAUAUGGUGAACACCUGGGAGUGGGGGACCACCAGGUUGCCUAAGGAGGGGUGAACUGGCCCAGGUCAGAAACAGAGCAGGUCAAAACUCCCGUGCUGAUCAAUAGUGGGAUCGCGCCCAUGAAUAGCCACUGCACUCCAGCCUGGGCAACAUAGCGAGACCUCGUCUCU
rnacentral:SRP_RNA from 1 species